CCGACUGAGCCACCCAGGUGCCCCUGAAGUGAAAAGCACUGUGCUUCAUGGCGUGGGAAGACUCGGCUUUGUGAAGUGAAAGAAAGCGUUAUAAUUUUAGAAACAUUCUUUGAGAAAAUAAUACAAUUUUAGGAUAGAAUACUGCAACAAGGAGACACAACAGUGCUUAAGAAACAUUUAAAUAUAUCCACUAAACCCUACAACAUGUAUCCCCAAGCCAACUUUCCUUCAGCUAGAUCCCAUAAUGUCUAAGGCCACUUCAAAGCUCUCUGACAGGAGGGAGAUUGUGAUGGAAGGAAAGUCGGAGAGCAAAGACAGAGGUCUUAACUGAUUGUGGUUAAAAUACCAUAAAUUUGCAAAUGUAACAAAAACAUGUGCCUUUGUGAACACGUUGUUAGGGCUCCUUCUCAGGCCUUGCCAAGUUAGGGGCCUUGAAACUCAAGCUUCAUUAACUUUGAGAGAAAUCCUCCUCUGACCAGCCCCACCCCUCCUAGCAUUUUUCUGCAGAUUAAAUCCGACUAAACUUAAAGGCAGCCAGUGGGAUGAGUAGAAGGCAGAAAUUAUAGAAAGAUCACAGUGGGGACUCAUAUUCCUCUUGCAAAUAUCAAGCCCUCAGACUGGGAGAUGAUGAAGGACACGUUAGGUCUUCGGGAAGAUACAUAAAGGAGUCUUUGGGCUGACAGGCCUCCAGAGAGGUUGAUGUCAUCACAGCCACAAAGAAGAAUGAUUUCCUACAGCAAUAGUGGAUCUGUGACGGCAUCAGGAUUACAAAAGCUGUUCUGGAGGCCACAGGUCCCAAAUCAAGGUGUCAGGAAAUCACACCUGAACUAUGCAAACUGGGCGGGGCAGCUGCUGCCAAGAAGAGCGAUACUGUCAUCAGAAGGAGGCGGACCCACUCGGCUGAGCAGGCUCAUGGUGCAGAGGAAGGUGGGGAGUUCCAUCUGGACGUGCCAAGUUGUGACACAGCAGGUGAGACACCUGAGAGUGAUGUCCCCUGUCCGUUAAAUGUGGCAGUAGGUGUAUCAUUUUUAAUUUUAGCAAGAAUACUUUCAGUGGAGCGUGGAGCAAGGGGACUGCUGAAGGGAGCUGACGAAUGGAUGGGAACUGAACAAAGUCGAAGCGGGGCUGGUCAGAAGCCAGAGAACUAGGGUCUCACCAUGACGACAGUGUUGCUGAGGCAGCCUUUCGGGAGGCAAUGCCCUAAAGCAGUAGUUCUCAAAGGCUGUAACCCAGAUCAGCAGCAUCAGGCAGCUGGAAAUUUACUAGAAAAGCAAAUUUUGAGGACCCAUCCAAGACCUACUGAAUCAAAACCUCUAGGGUGGAGCCCUAAAAUCUGUGUUUAACAAGCCCGCAGGUGACCCUGAUGUGGGCACUCCGGCCUCCGGAGCCUGGAGGAACCAACUUUGACAGAACUACUGGUGCCGUGUGCUCAGGGAGGCACACGUGUGUGGUAGUAACAUGUUUACUCCAGCUGGGCUUGCUUGGAAGC